AACGAACGCUGGCGGCAGGCCUAACACAUGCAAGUCGAGCGAAGCCUUCGGGCUUAGCGGCGGACGGGUGAGUAACGCGUGGGAACGUGCCCUUCUCUGCGGAAUAGUCCCUGGAAACGGGGUUUAAUACCGCAUACGCCCUUCGGGGGAAAGAAUUUCGGAGAAGGAUCGGCCCGCGUCUGAUUAGGUAGUUGGUGGGGUAAUGGCCUACCAAGCCUACGAUCAGUAGCUGGUUUUAGAGGAUGAUCAGCCACACUGGGACUGAGACACGGCCCAGACUCCUACGGGAGGCAGCAGUGGGGAAUCUUAGACAAUGGGGGCAACCCUGAUCUAGCCAUGCCGCGUGAGUGAUGAAGGCCUUAGGGUCGUAAAGCUCUUUCGCUGGGGAAGAUAAUGACGGUACCCAGUAAAGAAACCCCGGCUAACUCCGUGCCAGCCGCCGCCGUAACAC
rnacentral:rRNA from 1 species